rnacentral:tRNA from 1 species
UGACCUGUGGUGUAAUGGUAACACGUCUGAUUUUGGUUCAGAAGUCUCCAGGUUCGAGUCCUGGCAGGUCAA